GGACGAACGCUGGCGGCGUGCCUAACACAUGCAAGUCGAACGGAGUUAAGUCUUCGGAUUUAACUUAGUGGCGAACGGGUGAGUAACGCGUGAGGAACCUGCCUUUCAGUGGGGGACAACAGUUGGAAACGACUGCUAAUACCGCAUAACGCAUAGAGGUCGCAUGAUCUUUAUGCCAAGGAUUUAUCGCUGAAAGAUGGCCUCGCGUCUGAUUAGCUAGUUGGUGAGGUAACGGCCCACCAAGGCGACGAUCAGUAGCCGGACUGAGAGGUUGACCGGCCACAUUGGGACUGAGAUACGGCCCAGACUCCUACGGGAGGCAGCAGUGAGGAAUAUUGGUCAAUGGUCUAACGACUGAACCAGCCAUGCCGCGUGAAGGUCACGGCCCUAUGGGUCUUAAACUUCUUUUGUAAGGGAGCAAUAAGCUUUACGUGUAGAGUGAUGAGAGUACCUUACGAAUAAGCAUCGGCUAACUCCGUG
rnacentral:rRNA from 1 species